rnacentral:rRNA from 1 species
CGGCGGAGCAUGUGGAUUAAUUCGAUGCAACGCGAAGAACCUUACCUGGGUUUGACAUGCACUAGACAGCCGUAGAGAUACGGUUUCCCUUGUGGUUGGUGUACAGGUGGUGCAUGGCUGUCGUCAGCUCGUGUCGUGAGAUGUUGGGUUAAGUCCCGCAACGAGCGCAACCCUUACCCUACGUUGCCAGCGGGUUAUGCCGGGGACUCGUGGGGGACUGCCGGGGUCAACUCGGAGGAAGGUGGGGAUGACGUCAAGUCAUCAUGCCCCUUAUGCCCAGGGCUUCACACAUGCUACAAUGGCUGGUACAGAGGGCUGCGAUACCGUGAGGUGGAGCGAAUCCCUUAAAGCCGGUCUCAGUUCGGAUCGGGGUCUGCAACUCGACCCCGUGAAGUCGGAGUCGCUAGUAAUCGCAGAUCAGCAUUGCUGCGGUGAAUACGU